rnacentral:rRNA from 1 species
AGCAUCAUGCUCAUGCCAAAGAUUAAGCCAUGCACGUGCAAGCAUAAAUUUCAUAUUUAAUGCCAAGAAGAAAGGAAAGUCAUUUUUUAUUUUUUUUUCCCAACUGUGAAGCUGCUCAUGGCUCCCUAAAUCAGUCUUGAAUCUGAAGUCCUUUUUUAUUUAUAUUAAGGAUAACCAGUCUAAAGACUGGCUAAUACAUGUGUAGAGAUACUGUGCCUUUUUUUUUUUAUGAAGAGGGGUAAAGGAUGUCAUUUUCCAUAUUUAUAUUUUGUUGUAAUUUUUUUAUUGCUCUAGAAAAAAUCCAUGAUCCGAAUAUGGCGAAAGUAACAUAUUUUACAUAGUCCCGAUAUUGUUUGGAAAUAUUCAUUAAAGUGUUAGUGUAAUAUUCAUAAGUAGCCUCGAAAAUCAGCACACUUAUAUAUAUAUGUGUGUGUGGAACUAUGGGAAACUGCUCCAUCUUUUCUGGUCAGCAUUGUAUUGUACUAAGAGAUGAGAAACACGGGUAACGGAAGAUCAGGGUUUGACGCCGGAGAGGGAGCUCGAAAGAUGGCUCCCACUCCCAAGGGGGGCAGCAGGCGCGCAAAUUGUCCAAUCCUAACACAACUCGUCCUCUGUUUCACGCGAUCAACUGGGGAGGGUGAUGAUGAUGAGGGAGGAAGAAGAAGAAGAAAGAAAACCAACCAAGUUGACGCAUCUUGUGUUGGGCGUUUUUUCUAUUUUUCUUUAAUCUUUGUUUUUUGGCCUCUCUAGGUGGGGUCGAGUGAGGGGGGGCGAGAAGAGGGAGACAGUGACCACAAAUAACAUUUCUCCUGUUGUGGGUUUCUUCUCCCUGGGUAAAACUGGAGAGGGGAAACCCAUUUAUUAUCUGGAGUUGGGUGGAAUGAGAAAAUUUCAAACAGUUUAUUGAGCAACCAUUGGAGGGAAAGUCUGGUGCCAGCAGCCGCGGUAAUUCCAGCUCCAAUAGUGUAAGCUAAAGUUGUUGUGAUUGAAAAGCUCGUAGUUGUAAGCAAAAAUAAAUUCAUAUAUAAUUUUCUUUUUCUUUUAUAAUAAGGAAGAAGAAGAGAAAGAGAGAGAGAGAUGAUAAUACUCUACAUAUAUAGAGUUAUAAUUUCUGGGGUUUGAAACUUUCCAUCUCAUCAUGGAUCGUAUUUUUUUUAUGGGAUACAUAUAGAGACAGAGAGGGAAUCUUGAGAGAUUCGUUUUAUAUACCAAGGAUUAUUUUCUUUUUCUUUUGAAGAGGGUAGGUAAGGAUGUAAAAAUUCUUCUUAUUUUUUUUUUUGAUUAAUUCACACUCCUUCUCUUUUAUCUGUGUUGAUAGAAAGAUAGAUGGAUAUGCGUUUUGGAAGAGUGAGGAAAUAUGGCUGAUUUUCAAAGAUUUGUGACUUUUUUUUAGGGUUUUUUUUCGUGUAGAGAGAUACUUACUGGGCACACAGAUUAUCAAAAGAGAUCGAGUUAGAGGUGGGUUGGUGUUCUAUGUUCCUUUUUUGCGUUUGUCGUACACAACCACCAAGAGGUGAAUUAUAUCAUACUUUAACAUCAUUUUUGCCUUGAAAAAAUUAAAGUGUUCAAAGCAGGCUAUUUUAAACAGAUGUAUAAUCUGUUUAUGUCUCUGUAUAUCAUUAGCAUGGUACAAAAUUUUAUAAAAAAAAUAAAGGCCGAUUUAUGCCCGCAAGAGAGAGGGGCCUUCGCUUGUAUGUUUUGUGGGGGCUUUAACCUAUAUAAGCAUAUCUCUGGUGUUUUUUUUACAAAAUGGAGGUUUGAAACAGGACGACUCUGAUUUACUUGAGAGAGGUGAAAUUCUGUGACCUUGUGAAAGAAGAACCGAGGCUAAAGCAGGCGGAAUUUUAAGUGUCCUGGAUGAAGGUAAAUAUACGUUUUUUGUUGCAAUCCUUGACAUUUAAAUGGGUGUAGGCAGACUUUCAUACAAUCAAGAACGAAAGCUAGGGGAUCAAAGACGAUCAGAUACCGUCGUAGUCUUAUCUAUAAACGAUACAAGCCAAACCCUGGUGGAGAAAUUAAAUACAUGGAAAAAGAUUCAUAUAUAUGUAUUAAAGAUAACGUGGAGAGGGAGGAGACAAAUGGGAAAAAGAAGAUGUCCUCUUUUUUAUUCUUGUGUUCCUCCCUCUUCACCUCUUUUCUUUAUUGUAGUAUAGUUUUUUUUUCUAAUCUAAACAAUUUAACUUCUUCAGGAUUUUUUUGAUUAAAAUCUCAAUGUGAGAAAUCGUUGAGCGUUUGUGUUUCAGGGGGAGUAUGGCCGCGAGACUGAAACUUAAAGGAAUUGACGGAAAGGCACACCAGAGGUGGAGCGUGCGGCUCAAUUUGACUCAACACGGGAAAACUCACCAGGUCCAGACACUAGGAUGACUGACAGACUUUUUUUGAGUCUCCCCUCAUCGACGGUAACCCCGUUGGUGUGGAGAGGGAAGAAAAAUAAAUAUGAAGCUCUUUCACGAUUUUUUGGGUGGUGGUGCAUGGCCGUUCUUAGUUCGUGGAGUGAUUUGUCUAGUUAAUUCUGUUAACGAGCGAGAUCUCAUCCUGCUAAAGGUUUCGAUAUAAAAAAAAAAUAUAAAGUAGGAUUAAUACACGCAUACACAGUCGCACACACACAUACUCACUUCUCCAAGGGUUGGGUGUGUGUGUGUGGUGUCUGGGGUAUGACGUGACUUCUUAGAUUGACAUACCAGUUUUCUCUUCUCCUCUCUCUCUCUCUCUCUCUCUUUCCUCUUUUUUUUGGGGGGGGUGGGGAGGGGGUGAAGAGUAGAGGAGAGAUGGUAUAGGAGGGACCAUCAACAUGAUAUUACAAACAAAUGGAUGGAAGAGUGAGGCAAUAACAGGUCUGUGAUGCCCUUCGAUGUCUUGGGCUGCACGCGCGCGACAAUGACAUAGACAAAGAGUAUAAAAACAUUCAAGCGUAUUCUCACACCCACCUCUUCAUCCUCCCCCCCCGUGGUGUGUUAACAGCAUAUCGCGUGGGGGGGGGUGGGGUUGUGGCGUGUGAGGAAUGACCUUGAAAUCCAUGGCUGAAGAGUUAUUUUCUGAUAUCAAUCCUGACCGUGAACACUCUCUCCUUCGUGAUGCUCUUAUCUUCAUUCAACUGUGGGUGUAGAGCAGUGGGAGGCGGGACUGCUGUCGUAACGGUAAGAGGGGAUACCGUUGAUUUUGGAAAUCAUUCAAGAUAUGUCAUGCUGGGGAUAAAGCCUUGUAACUAUUGCUUUUUAACGUGGAAUCUCUUGUAGCUGUUUGUCAUUCAGCCAGCAUUGACUACGUCCCUGCCCUUUGUACACACCGCCCGUCGCUCCUACCGAUUGGAUGGGCAGAUGAAGGCUUUUUGCGAGAGGGGUGAUCAAGUUGCAUACGAGUGUUUAUCCCAUCUCUAUGAUGGGGUACGCACCCCCAACCUCUCCCCUCGAGCGCGUCUGAAUAUUUUUAUCUAGAGGAAGGAGAAGUCGUAACAAGGUUUCU